ensembl:lncRNA
AUGGCACCGUCAGCACCUCUCCUUGACACGAAGGAGCGCGCGCUGCUGAAAGCGGCACCCCCGACCUGCCCUGACUCUUUCCCCUCCACCUGGCCGAAACAGCCUCCGAAGAGCGGUCGGGGAGGGGGGGCCCUAGGAAAAAGAAGCGCCUGCUUCGUGUCUUCUGAGGGGGCGUGGGGGGACCUUCCGUGCUUCUGCCCCCCCCACACUCUAGGGUGGUCGCCCGUUCUGACGUUUUCGCUCCCCUUUUGUCGAAACCCUGUCCUCUCUCGCCGUCCCGCUUGGUCGGUACCUCACUUUCGUGAAGUUUUUGUGUCCAUCAGAGGCGUACUGCAGUAUCUUCCGACUCGUUGCUUGAUUUACAUUUAAGAAAGACGUUUUCUGGCAAAUUCUGUCUUGUCAAGAACUUUUGGAGGUUACAUCUAAGAGCAACUUUCCUGCCGAAAUCCAUCUUGCCAAGAACUUUUGGUCUUUUAAAUUCUUCACCCUGGUACAAGCCCAAUGAACUGGUGUUUGAGCCACAAAAGGUAACGUAUUAUAUGAUGAUUUUCUAGUGGUCUGUACAGGUAUUGCCUAUUCUUGUGUUUGUAUUUCAUUUUGUACGGACCACACAUCUCUUCUUCAUUUCAGUUCAUCUUUGUCUUCUUCCUCGGUUUACCAUAUUGCAUUUCCAUUAUUUUUCAACUCAUGGGUCAAAAGCCUUUUUACUUAAUUGUGUAUGCACAAUACUUUACCUGUAGUAACAAGGGAAAUCCAUCUGUAACUCUUAUGGUGUAAUUGCCUUGCCUUACUCCUGGCAUUUCAUGAAGAUCUAUGUGUAACCUUCCUGUGUUUUCCCAUUACACCUUGGUGGGGGGAGGGAGAGAUAUUUCCAUUAUAUAGUGGGAAUGGCUUCUCAUUAGUAGUUCCAUGAGACCUGCACUUAGAAGCACCCCAUAUUUAGGUACUCCUCAUUAAGGAUGCUUCCAGAUGGAUGGCUGAAGGCAUUGUGCGGCUGUUCUUCCUUAAUGGAUGCUUUUGUCCAUGUAAACAAAAGACAGAAGCAGAUAGAAACGUGGAAUGUAGUAUCAUCAGGACUUUCACCGUAAAAUUUCAUGUUUGAACCUGGAUGUGUGUGUCACACACUAAAAGCCUCAUCUAGGCGAGAUGGAUUGCAACAGGUUCAUAGAAGACCCAGUGCAGAGUGGUCCCUGGAGGGCUGGUUUGAGGAGCACAUAGAAGAGGCUUACCCCCAACAUUUCAGAUGUGGGGCUUUUCCAUUCAUGGGAAGAUGGUCAGCUGUUGGAAAAAACAUUGCACAGCAAAAGGUGAAAGAACCACUUGCCUUUUUGCCUGGAGGCUGAAAGAGAAGGUAUAACAGUAUUCUUUAAAUUCCUGACAGUCUGUCACAUAGAAGAAGAGUGAAGACUUGCUGUCUUUAGAACACAUUGAACAGCCUUAAAAUUACAGUAGAAUCGUUUUUUGGCUGAACAUUAGGAAGAAUUUCUUGACAGUAAAAGCUAGGUGAGAGCUGUUGAACAAUGAGGUCAAGUUGAUUUGAAACAAAGCCUUCCUAUUUAAAGAGGUGUAUAGUACAUGACAGGGGAAAAAAAUCUGACAUAGGAAUGAGCUGUAGAGGCAAAGAGUUUAAAUUGAUCACCUGGGUCAUGCAAAUAGUUGCUGUCUUUUGUGUAAGACUAAUGUCCUUUUAAAAAAUUCUGUUAAAAAAUUAAAGUUUAUUUUUUAUAAUAUUCACAUUCUUCUGUUAAAAAUCUGUUGGUGAAUCAGAUUGUUUGUUCUUAUUUUCUGCUUUUUGAAAUUAAAUCCUCCUUUUCUUUCUUUCCCUCCCCCCCGCCAGAGAAGUAAUUACAGCUACCAUAUAUUUAAGAAUGUGUUUUGGAAAGCUAUCAGUUUUGCUGUUGCUGAUCUUUAGCUUUGCCAGCCCAGGUAAAAAUAAUUCGACUUUUCACCUUCUUCAAUUAAGGUAUGAUAAACUUAAAAACAUAGCCAGAAGCCUUUAACAUUUCUGCAGAGUAGAAAAUUCUGUCAAUUUAGUGACACUGUUUUGUGCCACUUCCCUACAUACUUACAUUGUGCAAGUAACGAUCUCCUUGGAGACACACACACACCCCACAAACACACCCUGCUGCCACUUGCCAAUGGCAAUACUUGCAUUAGUGGCACAAUUCUAUGUUUCUACUUUAGUACUGUAAGAUGUUUCACUCAGGAGAAGCUUUAUAGGAUACUGGUCAAAGUAUAAGUGUCACAGAUUCAGAAUAACACAAAUGCAACAGUGGAUGAUACUUUUUUUGGACUACUUAACAAGUAAAUAAGUAGACAAUGUUUUAGUGGUCCAAUAAAAAGUAUCACCCACUCUUGAAUUAGUGUAAC